UAGGGAGACCUACCCAUCUAAUCAAUGAGCGCGUAAGCGAGUCACGAUUAGAUAGGUCAACCCAAGGUCGUUGAGGAUUGAGUGUUGACUUUCAGACUAUGUAAGAUUGGUUCGGGUUAUGGGCUAUUAGCUCAGGUGGUUAGAGCGCACCCCUGAUAAGGGUGAGGUCCCUGGUUCGAGUCCAGGAUGGCCCACCUUUAGACAGAUAAGGGGGUUUAGCUCAGUUGGUAGAGCGCCUGCUUUGCAAGCAGGAUGUCAACGGUUCGAGUCCGUUAACCUCCACUGACCGUUGAGCGAUAUUCAACCCGAGUCUAUUUCAACUUCAGCAACUCGUCUAAUCGUCUGAUAUUUAGAGAGCCUGCUGGACUUGUUCCAGUCAGAACCAUGAAAACUGCAUAGAAACUUGUCAGGUAGAAAGUAGAGAACUUUCGGUAAUUUGCUCAAAAGGUAAGUCAUCGAUUGUUUCAACAGAUAUCACAGACACCAAUGUUG
rnacentral:tRNA from 1 species